GACAGAGGGGGCAAGCGUUGCUCGGAAUUACUGGGCGUAAAGGGCGCGUAGGCGGGAUGGCAAGUCGGUCGUGAAAUCCCUCGGCUCAACUGAGGAUCGUCGAUCGAUACUGCCGUUCUUGAGGAUUGCAGAGGAGACUGGAAUUCCCGGUGUAGCGGUGAAAUGUGUAGAGAUCGGGAGGAACACCGGUGGCGAAGGCGGGUCUCUGGGCAAUUCCUGACGCUGAGGCACGAAAGCCAGGGGAGCAAACGGG
rnacentral:rRNA from 1 species